GGGCCCGCACAAGCGGUGGAGCAUGUGGUUCAAUUCGACGCAACGCGAAGAACCUUACCCAGGCUUGAACAGCGAGUGACCAGCGACGAAAGUUGCCUUCCGCAAGGACACUCGUAGAGGUGCUGCAUGGCUGUCGUCAGCUCGUGUCGUGAGAUGUUGGGUUAAGUCCCGCAACGAGCGCAACCCUUGUCUGCUGUUGCCAUCAGGUGAUGCUGGGCACUCUGCAGAGACUGCCGGUGAUAAACCGGAGGAAGGUGGGGAUGACGUCAAGUCAGCAUGGCCUUUAUGUCUGGGGCUACACACGUGCUACAAUGGCCGGUACAAACCGUCGCGAUACCGUAAGGUGGAGCUAAUCGGAGAAAGCCGGUCUCAGUUCGGAUUGUAGGCUGCAACUCGCCUGCAUGAAGUUGGAAUCGCUAGUAAUCGCGGAUCAGCACGCCGCGGUGAAUACGUUCCCGGGCCUU
rnacentral:rRNA from 1 species